rnacentral:rRNA from 1 species
CCUACGGGAGGCAGCAGUGAGGAAUAUUGGUCAAUGGCCGAGAGGCUGAACCAGCCAAGUCGCGUGAGGGAUGACGGCCCUACGGGUUGUAAACUGCUUUUAUACGGGAAUAACGCGCCUUACGUGUAGGGCUUUGCAUGUACCGUAUGAAUAAGGACCGGCUAAUUCCGUGCCAGCAGCGGCGGUAAGACGGAGGAUGCGAGGGUUAUCCGGAUUUAUUGGGUUAAAGGGGGGCGCAGGCGGUCUGUUAAGUCAGCGGUAAAAGCCCGGGGCUCAACCCCGGCCCGCCGUUGAAACUGGCAGUCUCGAGUUGGAGAGAAGUAUGCGGAAUGCGCGGUGUAGCGGAGAAAUGCAUAGAUAUCGCGCAGAACUCCGAUUGCGAAGGCAGCAUGCCGGCUCCACACUGACGCUGAGGCACGAAAGCGUGGGUAUCGAACAGGAUUAGAUACCCUGGUAGUC